CCCUUAGAUGUUCUGGGCUGCACGCGCGCUACAAUGGCACAUACAUCAAGUUCCUAUACCGAAGGGUCUUGGAACUCUUUUCAAAAUGUGUCGUGACUGGGAUAGACUAUUGCAAUUAUUAGUCUUUAACGAGGAAUUCCUAGUAAGCGCGAGUCAUCAGCUCGCGUUGAUUACGUCCCUGCCCUUUGUACACACCGCCCGUCGCUCCUACCGAUUGAAUGUUCCGGUGAACUUGUCGGACUGAUUUAUCGGAAAGAUUUGUGAACCUUAUCAUUUAGAGGAAGGAGAAGUCGUAACA
rnacentral:rRNA from 1 species